UCAAACUCAGGUCCUUACGCUUGCACAGCAGGUGAUGAAACCACUGAGCUAAAUACCCGGCCCAAUAUUAUAGAGAGCAUUGCAGUAUCAGAUAAUGUUGGGGUAUCUUGGCAUUUUUAAAAUCUGUCUUUCACAGGAUGAUGUCUUCAAUCCAUAAAUGGAAGAAGAUUUAGGGGUUAACUGGUCUUCUAUUUCUAGUAGAAUUAAUACGAGUGCUGUAGUCUGGAUCUUGAAUAUCCCAACAACCCAUGUGUUGAAGGCUUGGUUUCCAGCCCCUAGCACUAUUGGAAGGUGCUGGAACUGAGAGGGUAUGGGAACUGGUGGAAGGAUGUCAAGUCAUUGGGGGCAUGCUUAGAACGGGAGAGGAGGGCCUCUGUACUUCCUUUUCCUCUCUCUGUGCUCUCUGGCUGUGGUAGGUCGAGCAGCUUUUCUUUAACACACACUCUCCACCAUGAUACGCUGCCUCACUGCAGGCCCAAAGCAACAGAGCCAGAUAAUCAUGGACCCAGAACCUCUGAAACUUGAACUCUGUUAAAGAUCUUCCUCCUCUACUUUCUGGCCCAUCAAGAGAAGGAUCCUGUAGGAGGGACAUACAUGGCUCUGUCUGCUGAAACAAGGCCAGCAUGCAAAUGUGAAGGUGCUGAACACACAGAUGGGGUGGACUGGCUGGACAUACCGGACUCCCCUGACCUGGCUCAGUGAUCUCCACUUCAGGACUCCACUGCAUCUAUGCUUAGGAACUGUGAUAAACACUGCCCUUGGAUGUUUUCACUGGCUACUCCCACAUUUCCAUUGCAAUACCAGACUCUGGGCUCUAAAUCAGUUCCUUCUUUCAUCUCCCCUCUCAUCUCUUUACUCACCUGGUAACAGCAUCCUGCUUGUAAGGGAUCUUGGUUGGGCAGCUCCAGAAGGAGCCCUGUCUCCCCUUAAACUUUUUCAAAAGCACUCCGCCCAACACAACCAGCACAUUCUAAUUCAGGGAUCCAAAAAAACCACUGGGCCCUGUCUUAGGCCCAUGCCCUGACCCUGUCCCCCACCUCCUACCUCUGUUCCCAAACCACUUAGCAUGUCAGACCAUCUCCGUCUCUUUCCUGCUGAUUUCAAUCCAGUUACCUUAUUCUGUUCUGAUUCAUUUGUUCAUGGCUUCUUUCACCCCUGAGAUAUUUGUUAAUCUCCCACAAGGUACACAAUACGCUGCUAAGUUCCCUGAGAGUGGAGGGGGGAAAGUUAGCUCAUCUUUCCACAAGGAAUUUGUAGUCUAGACGUGACCCAGGCAUUUGGUCAUAGAAAAGUUGAUACUGCAUAUGAUUAAGUGACAAAUGUUUGGUACAAGUUGAUACAGGCAGUAGGUGCUGGGGAUGUCAAAGAGAGAAUUUCCUUUGAAGGGAGGGUGGGAUGGGUGUGUAAAGGAGCUGGCUUUGAAGCAAGGGUAAGAUAUGAGAGGCAGAGGAGGGUGAGUAGAUUCCACAAGGGAGGAGGAAGAUAUGGUCUAGGGACAGCCCAGAGGGAAUGGACCAGAUGUGGGCAGACGCCCCUCCUGCAAGAACCGACCAGUCAUUUGUUUUAGGAGUGCUUGAACAUCACCAGUAGCCCUUUUCCUUUUUUUUGCAGCAAGAUUUCUUUUUCUUUCUGUGGUGCUGGAGAUAGAACUCAGGGCUUCACAUUGGUUUUGCAAGUGCUGCACCACUGAGCCCCUCCCUCCCCAACACACAAGGCAAAACUCUCAAUGGGAGCCCAGAAACAGAGCCCUUCUGCCUUCUCAUACAUGUCAUGAGGUUCAGUGCAUAUCUCUGCUGCUUUUCUGCGGCUCUGAUGAGUUGUUUCAUUCUAUCACUUUAAUGGUGUGCCUGCACAAGUGUGCAUGUAUGUGUCUGCUUUGAAAAGCCUCUGCCUACUCCCUCACACACCUGGAAGCCUUUCAUUUACGUGUAUGUGAUGUCUUCAGACUUGAGCCUAAGUAGAUGGCAUGCUCUUUACUCUCCCUCCAUGCCAAAUUAAUAUCCAGAGUACAGUGUUGGUACUGAGUUGAUCUUUGGAGGAUUCCAUUGGUUUGAUUGAGAACAUGAUCUGUUAAUUUCUGCCUAACUUCUCUCUCUCAGUUUCUCUCUUUAGCUAUCAUUUAUCUAUCUGCUUCUUUCUGUCUCUGCCAUCACUAUUAUUUAUGUAUCAUCUCUCUCUCUAUAUAUAAUAUAUAUAAAUAUACCUGAAUUUUUAGGAAAAAUUGGAUAACUAGUACCUUUUAUUUGUUGACCAAGUAAUUUUAAAAUCAUUAAAUCCAACAGAGUUUCAGAACAAUUGCUAUUUAAAGUGUCCUGGGUUAUUUCCACACUCAAAAGAAAAAAGAAAAAAAGUUUUUUUUUUAAUUGGAAAAGUUUGAGUAUGGAGAAAAUAACUCUGUUUCCCUUUCUAUCUGGUCAAACAGCCAACACCUCUUUGGCCUUUUCCAGUUCUUCCAUAAAUCUUGGCUAAUAAGCCCUGGGUUCAAAUGAACAAGAAAUCUCAGUAGCUGAGGAAAAUCCACACAAACUG